rnacentral:rRNA from 1 species
CCUACGGGUGGCUGCAGUAAGGAAUAUUGGUCAAUGGACGAAAGUCUGAACCAGCCAUGCCGCGUGGAGGAUGAAGGUCCUCUGGAUUGUAAACUUCUUUUAUAUGGGACGAAAAAAGGCCUUUCCAGGUCGUCUGACGGUACCAUAUGAAUAAGCACCGGCUAACUCCGUGCCAGCAGCCGCGGUAAUACGGAGGGUGCAAGCGUUAUCGGGUUUCAAGGGGUUGUAGGUGGGUUGGUAAGUCUUGGGUGAAAUCCCCGGGCUUAACUUGGGAACUGCCAUUGAUACUAUCAGUCUUGAAUACCGUGGAGGUCAGCGGAAUAUGUCAUGUAGCGGUGAAAUGCUUAGAUAUGACAUAGAACACCAAUUGCGAAGGCAGCUGGCUACACGAGUAUUGACACUGAGGCACGAAAGCGUGGGGAUCAAACAGGAUUAGAUACCCCAGUAGUC